AGUUUGCUCUUUAACUCAUUUACACCCGUUGAGGUAUAAAUACGUCAAUUAGUGCAUAGCCACUCCCUCCCCAUGGCGUAUAAAUAGUUCAAUCACGGUUUUUCAUGGGAGAGGGUGCAAGAGAGUCUGAUGCAACUUCUCACCAUAAGAUUAGGCUUGAUGGCAAUGUUAAAUAGCAAAAAAAUGGCCAUCGGUUGGCAGUGGUGCAAAAAUCCAACAGGAUCACGCCGCAGAAGUAGUAGAAAGGGCGUACAGUGGAGGAGGGGCGUGGGUUACUGGAUUGGAACAUUUACAACUAGCAACGAUGAAGAAAAGGAAACAACUAACUAAAAAGGAUUGUUUUUUUUCGGUAAAAAGCGUCCUCGAAACAAAACAACAAAGUAGAUGGUGUUUCGGUCACGUAAUCAAAUCAGCCUGCGCAAACAUGACGUGCUACACGCGGCCCGCAUAGCUCACGCCGAGUUUCGAGUUCAUCUGAUGAAGAUGAACAUGCUCCACGUCGGGGACCAUCGCUUGGCAGAGCAUUUUGUGCCUCCCGUGGCGCACAUCGCCCACAAAUCGUCUCCCCAGCAACUUCCAGCGAUGACGGCAAAGAGGCCGCAUUGCUUCGCAUGGCCGACGCCGGGCACACGGCAGCGAUUCGCUGGAAUUGCCUCGUAAUGACGACGGUGAAGAUAAUGAAUUGGAGUGCGAUUUGGAUCCCGAUGUGUCGGACGAAUACGUGCCUUCGGAUAUAACAGAAAGCAGCUGAGAGUUCUCGCCAGAGCCGCUGCAAUGAGGAGGUAACUGCUGACUAGCUUGCAAGUUCCUGUUCAAAACUUCAUCACUUCUUAUGCCUCAUCAGUCACUUUUAUGCACCGCUACAUUCCCCGCUGUACUAUAAAGUUGCCAGUAACACUAAUCAUUUAUGUACGGUUGAUGCAUCUCGUAAAUGUGGAUGAAAAUAUGUGCCGUAAAUGUCCUGACUUGCGUGUCGCCAUAGUUUUUUAAAAAACAAAACAAAAAAAACAGGACACAUUUGAUCCCCUCAGCUCUGCUAAAACCACUAGUGUUCAAUUCAUAUUCCAUUUCAUUUCAAAUUGGAUGCUGAGCAACGUGGAAUGAAUGGUGUAAAUAGCAGUGUGCGAGCAUGUACUGUAUGUGUGUGUGAGAGAUGUUGAAAUGUAAGUGGAAAGCAACAAUAAAAAAAUAGAAAAAUAAAAGUGUGGUAAUUCUACAAACUUCUAUAAAUUACAGAUUGUCCAACCAGAAGCAAAAAGAUGACGACUCCUUGCUUUGGUGGUGGAAAGAAAGUUCGUGCAUCUGGACGUCGUGGGAUGAAUCGAUGUGGUGACAAACUGGAUGGAAGCCAAAAACCAUCCUCUCCCCACAGCUGCACUUUCGUUCAUUGUUCAAUUUGCACUUUUGUUCAGAGUUCAAUAGUUUUGUGUGCAAAUAAAUUAUUUUGCUACAAAAACAUUAUUUGUAAUGUUCUUUUGUAGGAGGAACACAUUAUUGCGGUAUUUGAGCUGUCACAAAAGCAAAAAAUAGUUGAAAACUUGAAAUUUUGCUUGAAAUGCAUGCUUAUACAAAAAGCUCAUUUUCUCUGGAUUUCUGCAGAAAAUCUGCCUUUUCCAUAAAACUUAGCAGUUUUCUAAUGCUGUUUGCCAACGAACGGAGAAAGAUAGAAACAAACUUUUUUUCUGCUGAAAGAAGAGAGUCUCACAUUUCUUUUGACAGGUUGCAUGUAUAUAUAGCCAUAGAAUAGAAAAUUCUGUGGGCCUUGCAAAUCAGUCAAAAUUCAGUAAAAUGUGAAAAGGGGUGGUAUUCAAUGAGUUAAUGUUCCACAUUAUAUGGGUUACAGAAAAGACUCAAUUAUUGGGGAUUUUUUUUAAUAACUGCAUAGGCCUGAGUCAUGUAUGCCUUUGUUUUUUUCAGAUUAUUUUUUUGUUGUGAAAUAUUUUUUUCAAAUUAGUAAUAAAAUUAGCCUUGAGCCCCCAUGGUCUUACGUAACUUUGACCCUCUCCCUUGUUUCCAUCACACUCGAGGCAACUUGGGUACAGCUAAAGAGAGCAAAACUUUUGUUCCCACGAAAGGAGUUGUGUCAUCAGUGGUUUGGAACUGGUUUGGUUUUGCAGCUAGAAAUGUGCCCAAAGUGACUGCAUACUCCAAAGUUUGUUUAAAGCGCCUUGCAAGGAAAGGCACAAUUAACAGGAAUGCGGAGAAGAGAAGAAAAAUAAGAACGGGAGCUUGUGGAUUGGAGUGAAAUGGAUUCUGAUGAGUGCUCAGGGAUAGAUGGAGGUAUGGAGGUGUACUGUGGUACAGUAAUUGGAAGGCAGUGGCGCAUGGGAAAGCACAGGGAGGGGAUUGGGGCCAUGAAAGUCGGUGUGUUUUUGGGGAAAGUAGCUCAGAUGAAUGGGAGUGGUUACAUUGGGUGGAAAAAGGUUUUGAGAAAAAAAAAGUCUAGUAACAUUGUCAAGGGAAUUGAAAAAGGUGAUUGGGGAGGUGGAGGAGGCAAAAGUUUUGAGGGACGGAAACCUACUUGUGAUACGUCAGACAAAGGAACAGGAGAGUGGACUUCAAUGGAGUGUAAGUUUUUGCUAGAAGAAAGUGAGGGGAGGUAGUUAUCCUGGCUGAGAGGAAUGAUAACGGGAAUACCUUUUGUGUCCAGGUUUGGAAAGUCUUUGGGGGGCAGGGUGGCAGCUAAUGUCAAGUCAAGUCAACAGUAUUUAUAGAGCACUUUCAAACAGCCAUCGCUGCAUACAAAGUGCUGUACAUGGAGCAAUUUAACAUGCACAAUAAACAGUAAGACAAAUCGGUAAUAAAGGCGGUAGAAAGAACCAAACAGUAAAAUCAAGAACAAAUCUAAGUCAUGCUGAGUCGAAUGCCAAAGAAUACAAGUGAGUUUUGAGGAGGGCUUUGAAGAUGGGCAGCGAGGAGUCUUGCCGAAUGUUCAGUGGGAGGUCAUUCCAGAGAGAGGGACCAGCAACAGAAAAGGCUCGAUCCCCUCUGAGCCUCAGUUUAGUUCUUG